CCAAUAGCGUAUAUUAAAGUUGCUGCAGUUAAAAAGCUCGUAGUUGAAUUUCGGGAUCAAUUUACUGGUCGUGCCUAUGGUACGUACUGGUAUUGUUGGUUCCUCCUUUCUGAGGAGCCGCGAUGUCAUUAACUUGGUGUCGCGGGGAAUCAGGACUGUUACUUUGAAAAAAUUAGAGUGUUUAAAGCAGGCUAACGCUUGAAUACAUUAGCAUGGAAUAAUGAAAUAGGACGUAUUGAUCCUAUUUUGUUGGUUUCUAGGAUCGACGUAAUGAUUAAUAGGGAUAGUUGGGGGCAUUAGUAUUCAAUUGUCAGAGGUGAAAUUCUUGGAUUUAUUGAAGACUAACUACUGCGAAAGCAUUUGCCAAGGAUGUUUUCAUUAAUCAAGAACGAAAGUUAGGGGAUCGAAGACGAUCAGAUACCGUCGUAGUCUUAACCAUAAACUAUGCCGACUAGGGAUCGGAUGAUACAUUUUUAAUAAAUCAUUCGGCGCCUUACG
rnacentral:rRNA from 1 species